CCACAACUCUCUCCCAGAUCCACGUUGCGCUCCUUGCUCGCUUGAUCUACUUCGCCACAACACCUCCUCCCCUUCCAGCGCCCCCACCUCACCCCGCACCCCAUUUACGCCGCCUCCAUGUCCUCCCCUUCCAGCGCCCGCCUCGCAGUUGGGGGCGAGCGUGGGCUCGCGACCGGCGUAUGGUGCCAGGUGCAGUCGGGCGACAUGGACGGACGCUACAUGCAGCGGUGCGUGGAGCUGGCGCGCAAGGCGGCCGGCCACACCAGCCCCAACCCCAUAGUCGGCUGCGUCAUCAUUCGCGACGGGCGUGUCAUCAGAGAGGGUUUCCACCUGAAGGCCGGCGGUGGGGAGAUGGUGGAUGAGGAUCGGAUGACGGCGAGUGGGUCUUGUACCUCCCAGCGGUAGAUCCGAUCCGACUUCUCCACGGUGAGUUGCCCUCCCAUCGCGCCGUUGCCCUUAGAUCCACGGCCUCCUCGUCCCGAGUAGUCGUCUGAUCCUCACGGCGUCAAAUUUGGCGCAAGGAGGAGAGAGCAAUGGUGACCAAGAUGAGCGUGGGCACCCUGGAGGAGGCAGAUCUGAAGGGAAAGAGGGUGUUACUGCCAGCCGACCUCGUGCCGCUCGAUGAAGCCCAGAAGAACACCGGCUACACCCGCAAUGUGGUUAUGGAAGCUACAAUGAGGUUGAAAUUCAGAGAUGGUUGUGUUCUCAAGUGCAAGCUGAUUCUAUGCUUCACGCAGCAGGUAUAUACCUGACUUCACAUUGGUUAUUUAUCAGGAAAACUUGGUCCAUUUCCGGAAUUCGAGGUAGCCUUGUGUGUUUUAUCUCUACUUGUGAUAAACAGUCAGGUCUUUUGCACAUGUUUGAUGAAACCAUCAGUUUUCUUAAAUACGGCAAGAGGUGGUCUCGGCACAACUGACUGUGUAGUUUUGUUCUAUUCUACCUGUACAAACCAGUGAAAGUGUAAGGUAAAUGACAGAGGCUUGGUUUUACUCUGCUACUUCAAGAUUUUCGGUUUCAGGGUCUCGUUGCCAUUAUUUUGUUUUGCAGUCGACAAGAAAAAUAGUUGGAUAUGGUGCAGUGAUAUCACACAAUCAUGCUUCCUUUUCUUUUCUCUGCUUUUUCUAUUCAAUUUUUCUCUGGAUAUUGUGAGGGCUGGUAGGAACCUGUUCCACUGCUUACCGAGGCAUUCAAGGGGUCAAGCAAAUCAGAGUGAUCUGCUGGGGAUCCAGGUUCAAAAGAACACCAACUUUAUUGUCUACCUACUUACUCUUUUUUCAUAUUGUUUUGGCAAAAUUUGGUUAUCUAUUCUUGUGUAUGGUCGAUGUGUUGCUGUUACAUAUCUACCUAUUGAUCGUGUACUGUGGAACUGUUCUCGAAUCAACAAAUCGAUGUGGUUAUAUGUCGUGGACAAAACCAAUUUCACAUAGAAGUCUCAUGAUAUUUGGGUUCAGGACAAGAGAAUCGCUUGUAUUUGCUUGUGCGUGUGAGCUCUGUUGGGGCUAUGAUGCUGCAGGUUCUUGGGCCAAUAAAAUUGUCUGCCGUCAAACCUGAAGGGACAUCAUAUCUAAGUAUUCUCUAGCUCAACAAUCAUCUGGUGGGAACUCACACCAUCAGAUGAGCACCAAUAUGAGGUUAGUAUUAUGAUGGGGCUGUUAUUCAGAAGGCUGGUAUGAGAAGCUGAAGAAAUAUAGUCUUUUAUGCAGAAAAUGUAAAAUUUAUCAUUUUGAUUUGCCUUCUCUUGCAAUUUUGUACAUUAUUUUGGUUUUCAAUUGAGUUGUUAUUGAACGUUUGGAAUUUUCAUGUGCACGGGAUUGCCAAUGUGAGAAGCGAAGAACAAGGAAACAAGGGCAUGAAAAUGAUAUGUCCAAGUGCGGCUCCAGAACGGCGCAUCUAAAUUCAUACUUGAUGCAGUCUUUGUUUUUUGUGCCUUGAUCUGGUAUGUGACAAGGUUUAUUUGACCAAUGAUAAAGUACGCAUGGUGUUUAGUUAUAACAGCAUAAUGGGAAUUUGGUGAUAAACUGAGACAUGGCGAAAUUGAUAAA